rnacentral:tRNA from 1 species
GCAAGUAGAGGCUAUACUAYACAGCCACUAGGCUCAUAAUCUGGGGAUAAAUUUAUAUUUACUUGCA